AUGUUUGACGGAGUUGAGUGGAUGCUUCGGGGAGUCAAGCAUGUGCCAGGGCUAAGGAGGAAUCUAAUUUCGCUUGGUGUUCUUCAUGAUGGUGGUGUAUUCCAUUGUGAUCGGGAUAAGAAGACCAUGAGAAUCAUAGAAGAUGAGGUGACCGUGAUGAUUGGAGCAAGGACGGCUUCGCAUCUUUACAAGUUGCAAGGGAGCACUAUUGCAGGUGGAGUCACGGAGACUGGAGUUGCGGGAGUAGCAGUGGGGUCUCACGGCGGCGGCGGGUCUGGGGCAGACUCGUCGAGUAGCUCUCAGUAA
rnacentral:rRNA from 1 species